UUCCUACGGGAGGCAGCAGUAGGGAAUCUUCCACAAUGGGCGCAAGCCUGAUGGAGCAACACCGCGUGAGUGAAGAAGGGUUUCGGCUCGUAAAGCUCUGUUGUUGGAGAAGAAAGAGCGUGAGAGGAACUGUUCACGCAGUGACGGGAUCCAAACAGAAAGGCACGGCUAACUACGUGCCAGCAGCCGCGGUAAUACGUAGGUGGCAAGCGUUAUCCGGAUUUAUUGGGAGUAAAGCGAGCGCAGGCGGUUGCUUAGG
rnacentral:rRNA from 1 species